CCUACGGGAGGCAGCAGUGAGGAAUAUUGGUCAAUGGCCGAGAGUCUGAACCAGCCAAGUCGCGUGAGGGAUGACGGCCCUACGGGUUGUAAACCUCUUUUGUCGGGGAGCAAAGCGAACCACGUGUGGUUCAUUGUGAGUACCCUAAGAAAAAGCAUCGGCUAACUCCGUGCCAGCAGCCGCGGUAAUACGGAGGAUCCGAGCGUUAUCCGGAUUUAUUGGGUUUAAAGGGUGCGGAGGCGGGUGGUCAAGUCAGCGGUUAAAUUUGGGGGCUCAACCCCGGACUUGCAGUUGAAACUGGAAGUCUUGAGUACGGGAGAGGUAUGCGGAAUGCGUGGUGUAGCGGUGAAAUGCUUAGAUAUCACGAAGAACUCCGAUUGCGAAGGCAGCUUACCGGAGUGCAACUGACGCUGAGGCACGAAAGCGUGGGUAUCGAACAGGAUUAGAUACCCCUGUAGUC
rnacentral:rRNA from 1 species